rnacentral:rRNA from 1 species
UACAGAGGGGGCAAGCGUUGUUCGGAAUUACUGGGCGUAAAGGGCGCGUAGGCGGCCUGUUAAGUCGAACGUGAAAUCCCCGGGCUCAACCCGGGAACUGCGUCCGAUACUGGCAGGCUUGAAUUCGGGAGAGGGAUGCGGAAUUCCAGGUGUAGCGGUGAAAUGCGUAGAUAUCUGGAGGAACACCGGUGGCGAAGGCGGCAUCCUGGACCGAGAUUGACGCUGAGGCGCGAAAGCGUGGGGAGCGAACGGG